AUUGAACGCUGGCGGCAGGCCUAACACAUGCAAGUCGAACGAGUGGCGGACGGGUGAGUAAUGUCUGGGAAACUGCCUGCUGGCGGGGGAUAACUACUGGAAACGGUAGCUAAUACCGCAUACCAUCCGGUGUGCCCAGAUGGGAUUAGCUAGUAGGUGGGGUAAAGGCUCACCUAGGCGACGAUCCCUAGCUGGUCUGAGAGGAUGACAAGCCACACUGGAAGUGAGACACGGUCCAGACUCCUACGUGAGGAAGCAGUGGGGAAUAGUGCAAAAUGGGCGAAAGCCGGAUGCAGCCAUGCAGCGUGGAUGAAGAAGGCAUUCGGGUUGGAAAGUACGUUCAUCGGGGAGGCGUUACCCGGAGAAGAAGCACCGGCUAACUCCGUGCCAGCAGCCGCGGUAAUUC
rnacentral:rRNA from 1 species